rnacentral:lncRNA from 1 species
UGUUUGCCCAGCGGGUGAGCAGUAAGCUUUGUGCUUAUUCCUGGCUCCUGGAGAUCUGCCUCCAGGGAAACGCCUUCAGGGUCACAGUGAAAUCUCUGUGGCAGCUAAUAAAGAAACCCGUCUGCCUCUGGAACCCUGACCUGGGGAGGUGCAGGCUGGACUCCUCCUCCUCUCUGUCGCCAGACGAAGCAGAAAGGACUUCAAAUGAAGCACAUCCAAAGCAACUUUCCGGAGUGAGGCCUCCCCAGGAGGAGAGCGCGGCA